rnacentral:snoRNA from 1 species
AAGGGUCAUAUGAUGAUCAUAUGAUUAUAUUUAGUUUUAGUCUUUCGCUCCUAUCUGAUGACCCUU